AGGAGCGGUGGCUCCCACCUGUAAUAUCGGCACUUUGGGAGGCCGAGGUGGGCGGAUCACCUGAGGUCAGAAGUUUGAGACCAGCCUGGCCAACCAUGGCCAACAUGGUGAAACCCCAUCUCUACUAAAACUACAAAAAUUAGCCAGAAGCAGUGGCGGGCACCUGUAAUCCCAGCUACUCAGGAGGCUGAGGCAGGAGAAUUGCUUGAACCCGGGAGGCAGAGGUUGCAGUGAGCCAAGAUUGUCGAGAUUGUGCCACUGCAGAUUGUCGAGAUUGUGCCACUGCACUCCAGCCUGGGUGACAGAAGGAGACUCCAUCAUUAGCAGGAGCAAGCAUUUUCUUCUUAAGGAUCUAUGUUAGUGAAAUUACAAUGAAGCUUUUAUUUAUAACUUGCCAAAUAAUCAAUUUACCCUGUUGAGAAAUAACAUGUUGAAAGAAUAACAUGUUAAAGGACAAAUUGGGCCGGGCGAUAUGGUUACAUCUGUAAUCCCAGUACUUUGGGAGACUGAGGAGGGAGGAUUGCUUGAGGCCAGGAGUUGGAUCCUCCCUGGCCCCGGAAACAUAGCAAGACCCUGUCUCUAUAAAAAAGAAAAAAGAAAAAAGAAAAAAAGAAAAUAAAGGACAAGUUACUUAUGUCAUUGUUCCUGUUAGAAUGGCGACACAGAUAAUUUAGUUAAAACGUAUCUUUAACCUUUUUUUUGCGUGGGUGAUUAAUCUGUGAGUCUCUGAUUAUAGCUGGUUGAAUAUUUCCCCCUAAAUAAUUGGUUUUGAGCAUUAAUAAUAGACCUUUAUGUUGAUGACAAUUGUUAUGACUUUAUUCAUAUGCAAUAAAGCCCUUAUAAUAGAUUAUACAAUUAACUUUCUACAGUUGAAAUAAGUGAAAUAUAAAUGGUUUUAGAGGGAUCCAAUUGGAAUUAAGUUAAAGCACAUUGACUUCUUCCAGUUUAGGACCAUAUAACAGUUUUGAAUAUAUUUUUCAUUAUUUGAAACCUUUUUCUUCUAGCAUGUAGUAAUGGUGGGAGAACUAAAUGACACUGAAAAUUCUGGAAAUGAGGAGAAACAGACUAAAGCCACGGGCACCGGAUGAAUGAAGAGAGAGAAGAGUGCUUUAGGUAAGCCUCUGGUUAGACCUAACUUUAAUAAGCUCUACUUGAGAAAGGGGGCACAUGGCCUCUCCUGGGGUACUAUGGCUUCAUUCCUGUCACCCUGAAAUUGCACGGUUCCUCUGAGCAUAGUGGUAUUAAUUAGGGUGGGAGGUUAAACAAAAUAAGCAAAAUUAACAAAGCAUUUGUCCUUCUAUGUAGCAAUGUUCUAGAAAAAUCUUAAUGGAUUUCACUAAUUUAAAUGCCACAACACAAUUAACUUUGUUUUUCCAUCUCUUCUAGAUUGUGGGUGCAUCCUAAUUUUUCUUAUAGUUGUAAGUUCUAAAAAGUGUUGACUAUUUCAUGUACACAAUUAGUAUUGUAAUUACCACAACUGUGGAUAAAAAUGUCAUCUCUUGUUUAUCUUCUCACACUGUUACUUGUGAAUUGUGGAGUGUGAUGUGUAGAGCUGUUUUGGGAGGUGGGAUACAGGUAGGACCCCUAACCAAGAAGCCUGCCUCACAGAGAGGGCGCCUUACUCCACAUUAAAUGUUCACAGUCCUUUGCCUCACUGUCUAAUUGAGAAGAAUAUUAGUACAUCACUAGCUCAAUCCCAAGUAAAUUUCCAAAUGGGAAGUCUUACAACACUUUUGGAAGAUACGUGGAUGAGGCUUUCAGGUGACUUGUAAGUCUUUUUUUUUUUUUUUUCUUUUAGNNNNNNNNNNNNNNNNNNNNNNNNNNNNNNNNNNNNNNNNNNNNNNNNNNNNNNNNNNNNNNNNNNNNNNNNNNCCAGGUUCAGGUGAUUCUCCUGCCCCAGCCUCCUGAGUAUGGGACUACAGGUGCACACCACCACGCCCGGCUAAUCUGUAUUUUCAGUAGAGAUGGGGUUUCACUAUGUUGGCCAGGUUGGCCUCAAAUUCCUGACCUCAAGUGAUCUACCUGCCUGGGCCUUCCAAAGUAAAUCAGCUUUGUGCAUUUAAAUUUAAUCAGCGAUUAACUUUAAAUUGCGCCUGGCUGGAUUUGUUAGUCUUAACUCCAAAGCUUUAUUCCAAUCUUCCCAGGGGCACUAUGGGCCCAGAGCCAGCAUGGUCUAGAAAAUGAAACUUUGUAGCCACAGGCGGAGAGAGUGGAGAAUGUUUCUUUUUUAUUAAAAGGAGAAGGCCAGUAGUGGUGGCUCACCCCUGUAAUCCCAGCACUUUGGGAGGCCGAGGUGGGUGGAUCACUUGAGGUCAGGAGUUCGAGACUAGCCUGGCCAACAUGGUGAAACUCUGUCUCUACUAAAAAUACAAAAUUAGCUGGGCGUGGUGGCGGGCACAUGUAAUGCCAGCUACUCGGGAGGCUGAGGCAGGAAAAUCGCUUGAACUUGCGAGGUGGAAGUUGCAGUGAGCCAAGAUCGUGCUAUUGUACUCCAGCUUGGGUGACACAGCGAGACUCCGUCUCAAAAAAUAAAUAAAUAUAAAUAAAUCAAGUCCGGGCGCGGUAGCUCACGCGUGUAAUUCUAGCACUUUGGGAGGCCGAGGCAGGUGGAUCACAACAUCAAGAGAUUGAGACCAUCCUGGCCAAUAUAGUGAAACCCCAUCUUUACUAAAAAAACAAAAAUUAGCUGGGCGUGGUGGCAGGUGCCUGUAGUUCCAGCUACUUGGGAGGCUGAGGCAGGGGAAUCGCUUGAACCCGGGGGAUGGAGGUUGCAGUGAGCCAAGAUCACACCACUGCACUCCAGCCUGGUGACAGAGCGAGACUCCAUCUCAAAAAAUAAAAAUAAAAAAAAAAUAAUUAAUUAAAUUUUUUUUAAAAAGGGAAAAGAAAAGGGAAAACAAAAUCCCAAGUCCCGUUUGUAUGAACAUUUAUAUGAAAAUUUUAUCCAACUACAAAAACACAUUUUUGUGUUAAAUGUGUUUUGUGAUAAAGGAAACCGAAUAUAGACUAGUGGUCAGAUGACAUCAGAGAAUCAUUAAUAUUUUUAGGAGGGAUAAUAGCCUUGUGGUUAUGAAGGAAAAUGUUCUUCUUUUUAGGAGAUACUUGCUGAAGGGCUAAGCGUUAUGUCUACAAUUUAUCUUCCACAUAUAUUGAAAACUUAGAGAAAAAAGCAAAUGUGGUAAGUAUUAGAAGUAGUUAAAUUUAGAUACUGGGUGUAUGGGUAGUCAUUGAACUAGCAAUUAAAGGUCUGUGAAUCAGUUGGAAUUGCUUCUGGCUGCAAAUAAAACUCAACUGACAAGAGUUUCAAUUUUAAGAACCUUCAACCUUGGCUAAACAAGAAUUGCAGCUGUUGUCCAUUUAGUGUUGGUGCAGCCACUCAGUGAUGCCAUUGAGACCCCAUGUUGAUCUAUCCAUCUGCCUUGUCAUUUUCAUCAGAUUGCCUUCUGACACUGUCACUUCAUGAUUGCAAGACAGCUGCUGCAGCUGUAGGCACUGUCACACUCACAGACAGGAUGUGGUUGGCGAAGAGCAAAAGCAAACUCUCCUCUUGCACUUGCAUCAUUUAUCAGAAAGCAGAGUCUUUCCCUGAAGCCCCCAGGAGACUUCUACUUGUACCUCAGUGGCCAGAAUGGUCCUAUGCCAAUCCUAGCUACAGGGUAGUCUAGGGAAGGAAAUCACCACGUGGAAUUUAUAUCUACUGUGAUUCAUCCCCUUGGGCUACAGGUGUACUGUCACCCUGAACAAAAGUAAAAAAAAAAAAAAAAAAAAGAAAGUUAAAAAAAGGGAGAAAAUGGAAGCUGUUUGUCAUUGGCUAAAUAGAUACCCUUUUUCUCUGGAAGGGAAAUUGUUCUGUUUCACAAGAUAUCAGAAAUGAUUUUUAAAUGAAACUAAAACUCUUGCCACAUGACAUCAGAUUGACGUUUAACAGAAAGAUAAAUGGUGCCUGAAAGGAGCUUUUAGUUUCUUGUUCUUCUUUAGCUCAGGAAAAACAGAAAGUUUUUAGCUAUCCAUGGAAACUAUUUUUUUCUUAACUUUCGAUUUUGGUAAUACAUUUCAAUCUACAGUUUACUUCCCACAAUUGUUUUCAUUGUGAUAGACAUUGUGAGGCAGAACAGAAUAUUUAUUUCUACUCAUCAUAUUAUUAGCCACCAUUUGUUGAGUGUCACUUAUAUGCAAGGCAUUAUAAUAGGUGGUUACAUCUUCUCUCAUUUAUGUAAGAGGAUGUGCCUGGCUGUUACAAAAAGCCCUAGAUCAAGUCUGAGUCAUCAGACUUAAUAAAGAAGAAGAAAACGGAAAGUUUUCAACAACCAUUCUAAUUUCUACUUCAUUCUCAGGCUGUGUGAGGCCACUAUAAUAAGAUACUCUUGACAUCUGGGCUCUUAAAAUGGAAACCCAUUUAUUGGUUAAAACAAAGAACAGCCAUAACUAGAAUUCCCUUCUGUUCCCUUCCCUAUCCCUUGGCCCAAGGGUAGGGUUUCUUUUAGAAAGGAAGCAAGACACUCAUUGUAGAGUCUUAGCUCAGUAAUAGCCACCUAACCAUCACCGGGGGCCACAGUCAUGUGUCCUGGAAAGGCAUAGAAGGCAUGACCUAUGCCCAGAAGUUCUCUGAGUGUGCAGAAGUCCUUCAUCAUGGGGCCAUUUGGUGAUGAUUUAGCAUGUGGUGUGGAUGACUGAGGUCCAGCUUCUAACUCUGGUUGACUGCCGAGAGAUGCCGUGAAGUGCUGUGUUGUUUUCUGGAGUCUUAGCAAAGAAGAGAAGCAUAGGCUGACAGCACUCUUGGACUACCCCAUGGCUCUUGGCCAUUUGUUGUCUCAGGUAAGCCUAGUUGAAGAGAAGCCCAACAGAGCCAAGGCUGGCAGAGAGGACCAAGAGGCUAUAGACUGGUGGGUUGAAAUGAAGGUAGUGGGUACACCAUUGGGAAACUAGACACUGGUUUCUGAAGGAAGAAACCAUUCAGAAGGAGAAGGGCCAGAGGAACAUAUGAACAUCCAGGUCAGGAGAUGAAAGUUAGAUCAACGUCUGGCAAAUUAGCAGAGAGUAGACAUAGACAGAGAGCAGAGCAAUGCCUGGGUGGAGCUUGUAGAGUCUCCUACUGCGUGUUCCUUCAUUUAACAAAGAUUUUGUUAGUAUAUACUAUGUGCCAGAAACUGUUCUAGGUACCAGGAAUAUAGUAGUGAACAAAACAGACAA
rnacentral:lncRNA from 1 species